AGAGGCUCCUUGCAAGGUGGAGUACCUGUGAUGCUGUGGGCCGUUUGACAGACCUGGAACCUGAAGAGACGACCUCAAACAACCAACUAAUAAUCCAGAUUUUACCCAAUAAUCCAGAUUUUGUUCCAAUAUGUCAUAUUUUCUAAAUGUUUAAUUUACAGAAUGUGUUAAUGUUUCACAUUUUUUCUUGAUAGAAAUAUUAAUUUCUGUUCCAAAUCCACAGAGUCAUGAUGUCGGAGGCUGCUGGACCUCCAGUGGGUCGCUCUGGUUGUUGCGGCUCGUCGUUUCCCUCCAGUCUCUCUGUGGUUUUUCCUCUCGGAGGAUUCAAGCAGGAGCUGCAAAGUGGUUAAACUGGAGGGAGACCAGUGGGACUCACACACACAGAGAGAGAGACUCACAGUUUACCGCUGUGAUCUACUGCAGUGGCAGCCUGAGCCCGCAGAUACAAAGCGCAUUAACCCUCCUGACUGCAUCCUGGAGGAGCAACCCGAGCGCCGCCGCAGCCGCAGCCGCAUGCGGGACGUCCACGCAAGCGAGCCG